CUACGUGCCAGCAGCCGCGGUAAUACGGAGGGUGCGAGCGUUAAUCGGAAUAACUGGGCGUAAAGGGCACGCAGGCGGUGACUUAAGUGAGGUGUGAAAGCCCCGGGCUUAACCUGGGAAUUGCAUUUCAUACUGGGUCGCUAGAGUACUUUAGGGAGGGGUAGAAUUCCACGUGUAGCGGUGAAAUGCGCAGAUAUCAGGAGGAACACCGAUGGCGAAGGCAGGUCUCUGGGCUGUAACUGACGCUGAGAAGCGAAAGCAUGGGGAGCGAACAGGAUUAGAUACCCUGGUAGUCCAUGCCGUAAACGUUGGGCACUAGGUGUGGGGAACAUUCCACGUUUUCCGCGCCGUAGCUAACGCAUUAAGUGCCCCGCCUGGGGAGUACGGCCGCAAGGCUAAAACUCAAAGAAAUUGACGGGGGCCCGCACAAGCGGCGGAGCAUGCGGAUUAAUUCGAUGCAACGCGAAGAACCUUACCAAGGCUUGACAU
rnacentral:rRNA from 1 species